AGUGAACGCUGGCGGCAGGCCUAAUACAUGCAAGUCGAACGGCAGCACAGUGGAGCUUGCUCCAUGGGUGGCGAGUGGCGGACGGGUGAGGAAUACAUGGGAAUCUGCCCAGUCGUGGGGGAUAACGUAGGGAAACUUACGCUAAUACCGCAUGCGCCCUUCGGGGGAAAGCCGGGGACCUUCGGGCCUGGCGCGAUUGGAUGAGCCCAUGUUCGAUUAGCUAGUUGGCGGGGUAAAGGCCCACCAAGGCGACGAUCGAUAGCUGGUCCGAGAGGAUGAUCAGCCACACUGGGACUGAGACACGGCCCAGACUCCUACGGGAGGUAGCAGUAGGGAAUAUUGGACAAUGGGCGCAAGCCUGAUCCAGCCAUGCCGCGUGAGUGAAGAAGGCCCUCGGGUUGUAAAGCUCUUUUGUCCGGGAAGAAAAGCAUCGGGCUAAUACCUCGGUGUUCUGACGGUACCGGAAGAAUAAGCACCGGCUAACUUCGUG
rnacentral:rRNA from 1 species